UUCUUUCAUGGGGGACCAGAUUUGGGUGCCACCCCAGUACUGACCCAUUUCUAACGGCCUAUGUAUUUCGUACAUUCCUGCUAGCCAACAUGAAUAUCACCCA
rfam:Pongo abelii mitochondrial genome